rnacentral:rRNA from 1 species
UACGUAGGGACCAAGCGUUGUUCGGAUUUACUGGGCGUAAAGGGCGCGUAGGUGGUUAUUUAAGUGAGAUGUGAAAUCCCCGGGCUUAACCUGGGAACUGCAUCUUAUACUGGGUAACUGGAGUGCAAUAGAGGGUAGUGGAAUUUCCGGUGUAGCGGUGAAAUGCGUAGAUAUCGGAAGGAACACCAGUGGCGAAGGCGGCUACCUGGAUUGACACUGACACUGAGGCGCGAGAGCGUGGGGAGCAAACAGG